rnacentral:lncRNA from 1 species
GGUCCAAUCAAGAGUGAUUAUGACUCCAGAUUGUGACUUAAAAAUACAGAAAACUUGUUAUCCAAAUAAAUAGUAUUAUACAUCCUUUGAUAAAGAUCAUUUAUCAGUUAUUAUGAACAAUUCUAUAUAUUUGAUGCAUUUUGUUCAGAAGUUGCAUCCAAAUAUAAUGCCAUACAUUUUGUAAAAUACUUAUGUAUCCACCCAAAAAAUAUGGGAUAAAAGAAACGUUAACAUUUAAAACAACUUUCUGGCAUAAUACUUCUCAUGCGAAGAAGAAAUAGUAGGUGUCUAUUUUACCAUCCUUGAUGGAAGAUUAAUAUCUAGAAAUCAAGAACAAGCCACAUUUUAGUCCAAAACAGAGAUGCAGAGGUGAAGAAAAUGCCCCUGGGUCCUCGAUGGACCCCAGUGAGACUC